CAAACCAAACCAAACCAAACCUCAACUUGCUUUUUAGUGCUGCCUCGGGUCAAACAAACAAAAUAUUUCAGGAAAACAACAAAACAGAAGAAGCUCAAGAUCUGUAAUCUCUGGACAUCAGAAAAGUCAAAUUCUACAGAUGAAAACCCCUUCCUGUAAAGCAAUUUUUGGGUUGGUUUUAAAGUAGCCAAACCAAUAAAAUCUUGAAUAAAAUCAAGCCUUUUGAUGCAAGUGAGAGCCCACAGGUUGGAUUCUGGCCAGGGGUAACCCAACACCCAAUUUUUGCACCUCCACAUUGAAAUAAAACCUGCACACAAAGCGCCCCCAGUGUUCUGCACAAACCUCAAGAGAUCAAAACUCAAAUUCAAGGCUUUGCCAUUCUCAUUUGGCACAUUACACUCCUUUUUCACAUCUCAACACCCUUUAUUUCCAACAGCAGCUUUCCAAUAAUAUAUGAGCCACUAAACAUCUCAUAUCCUGGUCUUUUAAUCUAAUAAAAACCAAAUUACUGCAGCACCAUUUGUACUAGAAACUGAAUGCACUGAAAAGAUACAGAUGUGGCUCAUUUUGUAAGGUAGGAGGGAAAAGUAGAGAAAAUCCCACUGAAAUAGCAUUUACAUAGAAAAAAAGAUUCUUAGCUGUCAAAACUUGAGAUUAUUUGUGAGCUAACAAAGUUUAUUGCAAAGAGUUUAGUGAGAAUGUAUUUUAGGAUAAACUAAGAUUCAAAUGUUUAUAUAACCUCUGUGAAAAACAAGUUUUCACUGUCAGUUUCCAUUUCUAAAAAAUCUUAUAUAAAAAAAAUAAAAGUAAAUACAGAAGUAUCAUCCUAUUUAUACUCCAGCAGAACUCACUAUGUUGUUUUUCUGCAUCAAACAAAUCAAACACAUUAGUCUGGGUACAAACAUUCCCACUGUAACUCUGCUUUCCAAAAGCAUUAGCACAUAGCAAACACUACUGUUUAAAGAUCAAUUUUAUUUUUCAAAUCACAGAUGAAUUAAAAUAAGACACAUUCACACAAAUUCUGAAGGUCACACUGGUUUAUGAUCUCCCCCAAGCCUAAUUAUUACCCUCCAGAUUUCCAAUGUCCUCAGAGGUGGCUCCAUCUGAUUUUUGAGCUGUAAAUUGUUGCUGCAGAGGUCAAGAGCAGCACUGAGCAGAGAAGUGAGCAAAGGGAAGUUUCUUUCAGGAAGUUCUGACCACACCACGUGAAACCCUGCACAGGGGCUGAAACCCUUGGUGCAGCAGUUCCUUUGUGCCUUGCAGAGCACUGCCACCAAAACCCUGCCCUCAGCAUUAACUGCAGCAGCACAGCUCUGCUUCAGCUCCCCAAGAAAGAACAAUUCAGCACCCUAGAAACUUCACCACUGCUGUGGGUACCAGCACUUGCAUAAAGAAACUCAGGGAGAAUCAUCCUUUGGACCUAAAAGGCCACAGGAAAUGAGGAACUAUUUGACAGGAGCUGCAGAUAACAGGAGUGGGCUUCCAGGCCUCUUUAGCUGUUCUUUAGGGGACCAAUAUUGCUCAUUUUCCCACUUGUUUCUAUCACAAGACCUGUAACAACCAUGAGCUCCAACCAAAAAUAACAUUAAUAAUCAUUAAUAAUGCUAAAAACCAAAACUACUCAUUAUCCCUCUUCCACAACUCUCUGCACCACAUUUCCCCUUCCCUCAUUUCCUAUUCCCAACUAAUGCUGCAGCUCAGACCAGAUUCUGCUUUUGGUCCCACCCUUGUGCAGAACAGCAGAAAUCUCUGCAAUCACACCCAUUCCCUGUCCCCCAUCUGCUGCCACACACAGCACCCAGCCCAAAUGGACUCUGGAUUUUCCUUUCACCCUAAAGGGAGAAGCAGGAAGAGUUUCCUAUCCAGUUUUUGAGGUUUUUUUUCUCCAAUCUGGAGAUUUGGAUUGUCAGGAAAAGCCUGCCUGGCACUGCCAAGCCUGCUCUAAGGGAGGUGGGUUUCAUCUCCUCACCUGAGCCAUUCCUCCCUGCCAGGACCUGUGACUCAGGGAGGAAAGAGGAGACUCCCAGGGAGCCUCCUGAGCCUUUCAGGAGCUGAGGAGCAGCACAAAGCACUGACAGAAACCCAGGAAUGUGCCCAGGGAUGGAUCUGUAGGAGCUCCAGGAGCCUGCCCCAGGAGCAGCUCUCCCAGCACAUUGCUGGGAACUGGAGCAGAGCCCACACUGCUGACAAUGGGAAUUUUGGCACAUCCCAGGAAUGCUCCCUGUGCUGGGAAAGGCAGCUCCUGCCCCACUGAGAGCCCAGGUCACUGCAAGUCAGCAGCAAUGAAACCAAGGACACAACAAGAACCUUCCUGGAGGCUCCAGGACCUGCCCUUCCCACCAAGGGAGCCCAGAACAGCCCAGGAGAAGGUUCUGCCCAGGUGAAGGUGCUGCCCAGGAGAAGGUUCUGCCCAGGUGAAGGUGCUGCCCAGGAGAAGGUUCUGCCCAGGAGAAGGUGCUGCCCAGGAGAAGGUGCUGCCCAGGUGAAGGUGCUGCCCAGGAGAAGGUGCUGCCCAGGAGAAGGUUCUGCCCAGGAGAAGGUGCUGCCCAGGAGAAGGUGCUGCCCAGGAGAAGGUGCUGCCCAGGAGAAGGUGCUGCCCAGGAGAAGGUGCUGCCCAGGUGAAGGUUCUGCCCAGGAGAAGGUUCUGCCCAGGAGAAGGUGCUGCCCAGGAGAAGGUGCUGCCCAGGAGAAGGUGCUGCCCAGGAGAAGGUGCUGCCCAGGUGAAGGUUCUGCCCAGGAGAAGGUGCUGCCCAGGAGAAGGUGCUGCCCAGGAGAAGGUUCUGCCCAGGAGAAGGUGCUGCCCAGGAGAAGGUGCUGCCCAGGUGAAGGUUCUGCCCAGGAGAAGGUGCUGCCCAGGUGAAGGUUCUGCCCAGGAGAAGGUGCUGCCCAGGAGAAGGUUCUGCCCCAGCAGGGAGAUGCCAGCACACAGAUUUCACUGCCAGUUACACAACUGCAGGCCCAUCUCCUUCCACUGCAAAUUAGAUCUCCUGAUUUGUCCAAGACUUUAAGAACACUAAUGAGAGCAGCAUCUCUGUAAUCCUUUUAAGUGCUUAUGGUGGAGAUAAAGCACCCUGAGCCAGAGCCCAGACAUCAAAGCAUGUCAGAAAGCACCACACUGAAGGAAACUCAGGAGGAAAGUUGAUUUUGUUUUCCUAGGAACAGAAAGGGGGCUAAAAACCCUGCCUGAUAAUCCAGCAGCAAAUCACUGUGGAACCCUGCAAAAACCUUCACAUUUCUAGUGGAAACUGCUUUUAAUCUACCACUCCCAACUCACACCUAAAACUGCAACACAGUUUAUUUUUCUUAAUUGUUCCUCAGAACUCUGUGAAUACCUUUUAUAUAUUUCAACUUAACUCUUCCCAAGGGUAACUGUGUUCCUCUGAAUGCAUCUCAAAACAGGUAAUUUUUUCAACAGUUUCAUCUUGAAUUAGUUUCAAUAAGGCAAGUAUUAAAAACCUGCUUAGAACUGCUUCCUCCAGGCUGACAUAUCAAUACCAACAAUACCAAAAUACUGCCAAAUUUCAAGGAUGGUUGAUUUCUCUGAAUUUCUUGUAGGAUCAAAACAGAGACUCUCAAAGAGUCAACUCCUCUUUGCCCUAUGUCCCCAUUCCAGCUUGAUAUUCAGGAAUCAGAGUCUGUUCAACUCAUACCCAUUGAUUUAGCACCAGAAAAAAGCUGGAAUUUUCUGAAUCUUCUUUGCUCCCUACCCACCCUUCUGGGCAUUUCCUUCUGGAAUCCCCUCAGAUGUUUGAGGCCAGCUCUACAACAAGGCUGCCUGAGGCAGUAAGAAUUAACCUGUUCCCCCUCCAAACCCACCCACAGCCAUCCUCUUGAUCUGGUUUUUUAGUUUUUGUUUACAAACACUACAGAAGCCUCCAGCCCUGGGAGAGAAGGGGGAGGUGGGGUGAAAGGAAAGGGGAACACACACAAGGAGCCAAGGAAAUUCAUCUACUGCCUAAACCCAGCACAGCAAAAUAAGGAACUUAUAAAAGAAGCACCACACUGAGGGCUCCACAUUCAUUUGUUGGCUUCAAGUCCAAGCUGAUUUAAUCAAUUUAAAAUAAACACACCACACUGAAAAUCUCACAAAGAUUUCAAAGUGAAAAGAGAUUUCAAGAGAACAAAAAGCCAUAAUGGAAUAAUUAAGAGAGUUAUUGAUCUGGAUGAACAAGGGAGGGCAGAUCAUGGACAAGAUGUACAAGAUCCAAAAAUCCCUCUGCACCUCAGCAGCACCCAAUGGAUCCUCUCCAUCACUGGGACAUUGCAGGGAACCUUUCCAGCAGUUCAAAUUAAUAAAUUCAAAGUUUAUUCAAACACUUGUGUUCCUAAACACCUCUACUCACAGACUACAAUUCCUAUUUUCAAGAUACAACUCCUUUAACAUCAGCUCUGAUGUGCAGCACAAAAAUCUUUAUCAAUUUUUUAGAUGCUUCAUAACAUUUGGAGUACUGAAACUAUAAAAAAAAACACCAAAGAGGAUAAAUAAGUAAGUUUGACCUCAAUACCCUAAAAUAAAAUGUUUGAAGUGUGUUAUGGACAAGUUGAACAGGAGCCAAGAGCAGAUCCUUCAAAAGACAGCAAUGAGUCCCAGGCUGCACCAGCAGGACAAGGACAGCCAUCCCUCCUUGUGGGAAUCAGAACAACAGAAACUUCCACAGACACUGAGGGAUUUGAUCU